GACGAACGCUGGCGGCGUGCUUAACACAUGCAAGUCGAACGGAAAGGCCCUGCUUUUAUGGGGUGCUCGAGUGGCGAACGGGUGAGUAACACGUGAGUAACCUGCCCUUGACUUUGGGAUAACUUCAGGAAACUGGGGCUAAUACCGGAUAGGAGCUCCUGCUGCAUGGUGGGGGUUGGAAAGUUCGGCGGUUGGGGAUGGACUCGCGGCUUAUCAGCUUGUUGGUGGGGUAGUGGCUUACCAAGGCUUUGACGGGUAGCCGGCCUGGGAGGGUGACCGGCCACAUUGGGACUGAGAUACGGCCCAGACUCCUACGGGAGGCAGCAGUGGGGAAUAUUGCACAAUGGGCGGAAGCCUGAUGCAGCAACGCCGCGUGCGGGAUGACGGCCUUCGGGUUGUAAACCGCUUUCGCCUGUGACGAAGCGUGAGUGACGGUAAUGGGUAAAGAAGCACCGGCUAACUACGUG
rnacentral:rRNA from 1 species